rnacentral:rRNA from 1 species
AUUGAACGCUGGCGGCAUGCCUUACACAUGCAAGUCGAACGGCAGCACGGGUGCUUGCACCUGGUGGCGAGUGGCGAACGGGUGAGUAAUACAUCGGAACAUGUCCUGUAGUGGGGGAUAGCCCGGCGAAAGCCGGAUUAAUACCGCAUACGAUCUACGGAUGACAGCGGGGGACCUUCGGGCCUCGCGCUUUAGGGUUGGCCGAUGGCUGAUUAGCUAGUUGGUGGGGUAAAGGCCUACCAAGGCGACGAUCAGUAGCUGGUCUGAGAGGACGACCAGCCACACUGGGACUGAGACACGGCCCAGACUCCUACGGGAGGCAGCAGUGGGGAAUUUUGGACAAUGGGCGAAAGCCUGAUCCAGCAAUGCCGCGUGUGUGAAGAAGGCCUUCGGGUUGUAAAGCACUUUUGUCCGGAAAGAAAUCCUUGGCCCUAAUACGGUCGGGGGAUGACGGUACCGGAAGAAUAAGCACCGGCUAACUACGUG